CAGUCGCCACGGGAAUACGUAGGGUGCGAGCGUUAAUCGGAAUUACUGGGCGUAAAGCGUGUGUAGGUGGUUGUUUAAGUCUGUCGUGAAAGCCCUGGGCUCAACCUGGGAAUUGCGAUGGAUACUGGGCGACUAGAGUGCGGUAGAGGAUAGUGGAAUUUCCGGUGUAGCAGUGAAAUGCGUAGAGAUCGGAAGGAACAUCUGUGGCGAAGGCGACUAUCUGGGCCAACACUGACACUGAGACACGAAAGCGUGGGGAGCAAACAGGAUUAGAUACCCGUGUAGUCCCUGUCUCUUAUAA
rnacentral:rRNA from 1 species